rnacentral:snRNA from 1 species
GUGCUUGCUUCGGCAGCACAUAUACUAAAAUUGGAACGACACAGAGAAGAUUAGCAUGGCCCCUGUGCAAGGAUGCCACGCAAAUUCGUGAAGUGUUCCAUAUUUUU